AGACAGCUUUGAGGUGUCUGUGGACGGUAAGCUGAUCUACUCCAAGCUGCAGACGGGAUCGUUUCCUGAUCCGUCUCAGUUGGUGGAGAUCGUGAAGAAGAUGAUUGGCCAAUAAGGAGGAAACGGGGGGGGGGGCGACAUUUAUGAGUCCUCUUCUUUAAAAGCUGUAUUCACACUGCAAGAACAAGGAAAACAACUUAAUUUUGGACCAAAAAGUCUCAGCAUCCGCCACGAGGAGAUCGGACUGUUUGUCUUCGCUGUGAAUACAAAGACGAGAAGGUGAUGAGAGCAGCUGUGAGGAGCCGGACGCCGAUCUGCACUCUAGUUUAUGAAUGUUCACACUAAAAGUAAUGCAGUGUGAACACGAUGGAAGUCUAGGAGCCAAUCAGCUGACUGGAGCCCGAGGAACUGCUCUCGCCACGUCCGUCUGCUAUUUACUCACCAAUAAAUCAUCAAAGACAUCAGAUAUAUUUUGUAUUUAUACUUCCCAUAUAUGCUCUUUUUAAAAUGUAUAUACAUGGAUUAUCACCUGGGUGUUUUGUAAUAAAGAGCACUGACACUUUACCAGCUUAGAUAGACAUGAAAUCAACUACAAAUGUUAAAUAUGUGAUAUUGAAUUUGACUCUGAGCAUAUAGUUGAACCUUUUUAAAGACAAUUUACAGCAUUGUUACAAUACUGUUACUCAUUUGUAAUCAAUUCCAACCAAAUAAUUUCCUGAAGUGUAAUAAAUUAUCUUUGAAAAGAAAACGAAAAGCUGUGUGGAAUCAUUGAUUCAAAAGAUGUUUCAUUUUCUUUUGCGAUCGGAGCCGACGGGAACAUUCCUUUUUUUUUGCCUCUGAAAUGUAAUACAUUUUAUUCAUUUCAAAUGUAUUUUCCUUUAGUCCAGCGUGUGGAUGAGCAAACAAGUGUCCUCAUUAUCUGUGGACACUUGACAGUG
ensembl:lncRNA